CAGUAUGAUACUUAAGGUGGAAAUUAACACCAAUACAAAUAUCUGGAGUCAGAGGGACACACUCAAACGAAUUAUUUUUUUAUAUUUAAAGGGAGACUAAUUAUAAGGUAGCAGUGAUAAAGUAUUCAGAUCAGGAGAUGCUAUUCUUUUAACCUAUUUAAAGAACUAUAAUAUAGCGAUUUGAAUGCUUUGUUUAAGUUUUCAG